rnacentral:rRNA from 1 species
AACGCUGAAGAGAGGAGCUUGCUCUUCUUGGAUGAGUUGCGAACGGGUGAGUAACGCGUAGGUAACCUGCCUUGUAGCGGGGGAUAACUAUUGGAAACGAUAGCUAAUACCGCAUAACAAUGGAUGACACAUGUCAUUUAUUUGAAAGGGGCAAUUGCUCCACUACAAGAUGGACCUGCGUUGUAUUAGCUAGUAGGUGAGGUAACGGCUCACCUAGGCGACGAUACAUAGCCGACCUGAGAGGGUGAUCGGCCACACUGGGACUGAGACACGGCCCAGACUCCUACGGGAGGCAGCAGUAGGGAAUCUUCGGCAAUGGGGGCAACCCUGACCGAGCAACGCCGCGUGAGUGAAGAAGGUUUUCGGAUCGUAAAGCUCUGUUGUAAGUCAAGAACGAGUGUGAGAGUGGAAAGUUCACACUGUGACGGUAGCUUACCAGAAAGGGACGGCUAACUACGUGCCAGCAGCCGCGGUAAUACGUAGGUCCCGAGCGUUGUCCGGAUUUAUUGGGCGUAAAGCGAGCGCAGGCGGUUUGAUAAGUCUGAAGUUAAAGGCUGUGGCUCAACCAUAGUUCGCUUUGGAAACUGUCAAACUUGAGUGCAGAAGGGGAGAGUGGAAUUCCAUGUGUAGCGGUGAAAUGCGUAGAUAUAUGGAGGAACACCGGUGGCGAAAGCGGCUCUCUGGUCUGUAACUGACGCUGAGGCUCGAAAGCGUGGGGAGCGAACAGGAUUAGAUACCCUGGUAGUCCACGCCGUAAACGAUGAGUGCUAGGUGUUGGAUCCUUUCCGGGAUUCAGUGCCGCAGCUAACGCAUUAAGCACUCCGCCUGGGGAGUACGACCGCAAGGUUGAAACUCAAAGGAAUUGACGGGGGCCCGCACAAGCGGUGGAGCAUGUGGUUUAAUUCGAAGCAACGCGAAGAACCUUACCAGGUCUUGACAUCCCGAUGCUAUUUCUAGAGAUAGAAAGUUACUUCGGUACAUCGGUGACAGGUGGUGCAUGGUUGUCGUCAGCUCGUGUCGUGAGAUGUUGGGUUAAGUCCCGCAACGAGCGCAACCCCUAUUGUUAGUUGCCAUCAUUCAGUUGGGCACUCUAGCGAGACUGCCGGUAAUAAACCGGAGGAAGGUGGGGAUGACGUCAAAUCAUCAUGCCCCUUAUGACCUGGGCUACACACGUGCUACAAUGGUUGGUACAACGAGUUGCGAGUCGGUGACGGCAAGCUAAUCUCUUAAAGCCAAUCUCAGUUCGGAUUGUAGGCUGCAACUCGCCUACAUGAAGUCGGAAUCGCUAGUAAUCGCGGAUCAGCACGCCGCGGUGAAUACGUUCCCGGGCCUUGUACACACCGCCCGUCACACCACGAGAGUUUGUAACACCCGAAGUCGGUGAGGUAACCUUUUGGAGCCA